CACUGUUAACAGAGGAGGUGCCUGCGCGUCCAAUUCUCCCUGAAAGCCAGCCCUGUUUUCUGUGCCUCAUGGCAGACACAUGAGUGAUUUAUUGCUCCUAACAUCUCUUAGUUUGUAAUAAAGUUUUCAGCAGCUCUUUUUAGCUGCUGCAACCUCUGCCCCUGCAAACACUCUCUCUUUCUCUUUUUCUCUCUCUCUUUCACACACACACACAUUCUGACUUCACUUUGUUCUUUUUCCACAUAAUGUCAACUCAUAAAGCUUUCAUCAAGUCAACCAGGUGGAAAAAUCCCUUUUGCUGAAAGAAGCCUUCAUUCCGGUCUAGGUGGUGGAGGAGAGUCACUGGGCAGGAGAGGGGAUCAGCAGACAAGGUGGGGAAGAGAAGAAAGUGUGCUGCUGAUGGGAAAAGUUUUAUGUGUGAUGAGAGUUGGGCUUCCUUGGCUUGGAGGAAAUGUGCUUAACUGCCACCAUCUCAACCCUCAACCGUGAACCAGACAGAACUGAAUUCUUUCACCACGUGGGCAGCUUGGCGUUUGACUUCCACAUAACAGCGUGGCCUCCACCAAAGUCCUGGAGAGUCUACAGGAGGAAAGGAGAGGCUGCCACAUUUGGCUGGGACUGGUCACGUGAUACUGUUGAUCAACACCUACCUUCGUUCACUCUUCAACCUCAGCUCACCUCUUGUGAGUAGCUAAAGAAGAAGCACAAGAUGCACCUGGACCACAGCCUUCUUGCUUUCAAGGACUAGCAUGUCUUGAAACCAGGGGUGAUGCUGCUAGGCUAGACAUUGUAUUUACAGAAGAGAAAAAAAAUCAAGCAUGGUCUCUUCCCUCGAGGAGCUUAUGGGCCAGUUUAAGAAACAAAUAUUAAACAAGUAAUCAUGCAAAGGAACAUAUAGUAACCCCAUAUUCUGAUAAACAUUACAGAUAAAGCUUUUCUAUAUAAUCCAGAACAAUGAGCAGAGGCAAGGUUUACAUUGGGCUAUCAGGAGUGGCUUCAUGGGUAGCUGAGAAGUAAAUGUUGGAUAGGGCUUGGACAAAAAUCAAUUGGGAGGGAGGGGAGCUUUCCUGGAACAGCACAUGCAAAGAUCCUGGAGCUGGAAAGAGCUUAGGUAUUUGAAUACCUGAAUGAUGGGCAGUGUCACCCCAUCACUCAUCUGUCAGUCCUCUCAUGUUUUCCUUCUAGGAGGGAGUUCACUUAUGUUCUGCAUGUCCAUGUGAAAUAUCUGUUUGCUACGGAGUUGUAAAUAAACAGACUGAUUGUAUAAAUGUGUAAUUGUUCAUGUCCUAUAAUCUGCUUUCCUAUAAUCAGGUCAUAAACUCCUGGUGAACUUGCCUGCAGAAUUGAAAGAUUCUUACCCUUUAGCAUAAAAUACAGACAACCACCAUCUGUCCUAACCCAGAUUA
rnacentral:lncRNA from 10 species